AAUGAUGGCGGUGCAGGCAUUUCCUGAGGAUUAAUGACCAGCUGGGAGGAACCAGUGGCCCUUGGCCCUGCCUCCCAGCCAGCCAUUAAGUCCAAGGAAAUGUCUUUUGCUGAGGUCGUU
rnacentral:pre_miRNA from 1 species